rnacentral:lncRNA from 1 species
UGGUACUCAUUGAAUUGACCAAGCAUUUAGACUGUUCAUUUGUUCUGAUAUGUUAGUCUUCCUCCUCACUUAUUAGUUAUCAUAACUGGGGAUAUAUUGUUUGCAGGCAUUGAAACCUCGUUCCACAAACCACAUAUUCUAAAAGGAUAUUCAAAAGCUACUGAUCAAGUAGACAAAGAUAAAAGGACCACAGGAGAUGAUGCUAAUAGAAAGGU